rnacentral:tRNA from 4 species
GCGGGAGUGGCGGAAUUGGUAGACGCUCCGGACUUAGGAUCCGGUGGGGCUAUUCCCCGUGGGGGUUCAAGUCCCCCCUCCCGCACCA